CGGCAUCUUGAUAUCGAGGAAUUUGCAGAGAUCCUCAUUAUGAAAUCAUUGAAUAAAGCAGUGAGAGAUGUCGAGUUGGGUUUGAAUAUAUUACCGAAUGCUUUCAAAUGAACCACUAUCCAAUUGGAAAAAUUGACAAAGCAUAUGUUAAGACAACAUUAAAGCUAUUGAAAUUUUGCUUAUUUACAUAAAAAUGAAAUAUUGCUAGAGUGAAACAACUGAAGUAAAGGAAACAAGCCAAAAAAAAUACACCCAUUUAGAUUGGAUAACAAUUACCUUAGUAAAUAGAAAUUCAUACAUGAAAUUAAGCUCAACCUCCGUUACUCUUAAAGGAUCUUCUUCUGAUAUUCUAUUAAAGAAAUCCCGAAUCUCGUUUUGAUUUCCAUAACUCAAUAGCACAUUAACAAGUAUUAAUGAGUUCCAGCUCUAUCUCGAGCCUGCAGGAGGUGAGAAAAGAGAAAGGUGUACUGCACUAGUUCAUAGUCUUUGAUUUUCUACGACCGCUCCCUUGGGAUUUUAGCGAGUAUAGCCACACCAGUUUUUCCAGAUGCACAUCCCGAAGAGAUCCAGGAUCUACGAACUUAGCUUAAGGCGCAUCAGCAGCAAAUUAUACAACUUAUGUCGCAGCAGCAACAAAUGAUGAAAAUCGAUCUUCUACUCCACCAGCUCCUUCUGCUCCAAUAGCUCACUCCGCUUCAUCAGCUUUUACUCAAGCAGCUCUAUCUAAUCCUCUAACUCCUCGAGAUCCUAAAGCAAUUUUUCCUGAUUGUCCAUCUCAUGCUUCUCGUUACACAGCUCCACAAUGACUACUUUUAUAUGUUUUCUAUUUUUUUUAGAUUUU
rnacentral:lncRNA from 1 species